rnacentral:tRNA from 2 species
GCGACACUAGCUCAGUUGGUAGAGCGCAACCUUGCCAAGGUUGAGGUCACGAGUUCGAACCUCGUGUGUUGCUCCA